rnacentral:lncRNA from 1 species
GCUCGCUCGAGCUCGACUCAAAAUUAAAUAAGCUGAACUAAAACAAAAAAAGAAACUCGAAAUUCAUUUUAAGCCGAGCUUAUUUAUUACUGGGCUCGUUCAAAUUAGGCUCGAAAAAUUCGAAAAGCUCGAAUAUAUAUAUAUAUAUAUAUAUAUAUAUAUAUAGUAGAGCUACUAUGCUAUCGAAAGUAUAGAGAUAUGGUGCUUUCGAUUUUUUGAUUCUUAGAUCAAUCCCUUUAAUCGUUUCUUAUCUUUGGAUUAAUAUUAUUAUUACCUUGUAGGGACCACUCAAUCCUAAGAGUAUUAUUUAAUCCUAGGGGAGACCGCAAUCAUCCCAACCAUACAAUUUUUAAUCAAAGGGUCAAAAAUUCAAAAACAUCAAAUCCUCUAUAUUUUCGAUAGCAUAGUAGUUCUACACUAUAUAUAUAUAUAUAUAUAUAUAUAUAUAUUAAAAAAUAUAUAAAUAUAAUAUAUUUUAAUUAUAUAUAGGCUGAGUGAAUAAUCUGAGUUUAGUUAAAAUUGGGCCAAUGUUGUUGGCCCAUAAAAACAAACCCAAUAGACAAAUAAAAAAGCAAAAUUUCACUAAAUUUAUACAUUUUUCCUUUCUUUCUUUCUUUCACAGAACUCUAAAUUUUCAAUAUAUUUCUCUCUUUCUCUUUUUCUGUCUCUCACCCUAAGCGGCCAAGCCGGAAGCUCUCCAAGUUACCAAGUAACAGCAUAUGCCUGCCGUUGCCUACCUUGCUAUUAAUUGUAUGCUUGAGAAAAUAUACAGAAUAUUUUUAAAGUAAAAAAUUAUUAUUCAUAUAAAAUUUUAAUUUUAGUUAUAUAUGAUUGGAUAGUUUAAUCCAAUAUUUAUCUAUAUAAUUUAUUUAUUUUUGACUGCAUAAAUAAAAAUGAAUAAUAUGGAGAUUGAAGGCGAAAAAAAAGACAUGUGAGGCUGAAAAGAUUAGAUAUUCAACUUAUAAAUUAUUUUUUUCAUAUCAUAAUACUAUAUUUUAUAUAAUUAUUUUGUACUUUGAGCUAUUAGAUAUAUUUUUGUAUCAAAUUAUAGAUAAUGUUCUAUACAAAUUAAACUAUUGAUUUUAUGAUGUUGAGAAUUUCAAGCGGCUCGUUUAGGGCUCGAGCUCGCUCGACUCGAAAUUAGGCUCGCUCGAGCUCGGCUCGAAUUAAUUUCAAUCCAAGCUUGAGCUUAAAUUUAAGCUCGAAAUUAAUUUCAAGCCGAAUUUGAGCCGAGAUAAGCUCGGCUCGUUUCCACCCCUAUUCCUCAGUGAACAAAAGUGGAAUAAGAUAAUGUAUAUAGACAAGUAUGUUUGUAUAUUCUUCAAUUACUUACCUCUCUAACUUCUUAAACAAGAAUCUCUUUUCUCCCCUUCCCAUAAGAAAUUUUACUACAAAAACAGUAGCAACUGUAGAUGCUACAAACUACGAAGUACUAUCACCGUUAUGGUCUCUGCGGCCGCAAUUAAUAGUAUUGAGGUCGGUCCAAAACGAAGAUACUAAAUAUUCACGGGUCCUUAUAUUCCUCAACCAUGGUUCUACCUAUUAUAGUGUUUGGGUUCAACAAGUUUAUUAUAUAGUUGAAUCGUGUUAAUGGUGCUACGAGAAGCUACUUACACAGAAGCGACGAGACUAAAUUUUAAAAUUCAUAUAUGUUACCGUUGUACAAUUUUAAAAUCCCUUCGUAAUUGCUAGUAUAUAAUAAUUAUGAAAAAGAGCCAAAGGCUCAUAUUUCUUUUUUCUUUUCUUUUUUUUAAAAGGCAACAAGAGAAAAGGCAAAAAAUUUGAACCUUCGGACUCUAAAAUGGCACCACACAUAACAACUAAAUUUGCAUUUGUUAAAUUAUAAAACAACGGAUAAAUUUGAAUAAAAUGAAAAAAAAAAAUAUUAGAAGCCACUGCAUUCUAAAAAUUUAAAUUAUAUAAAGUAAUGUCUAAAUAUUUUUUAAAACUAAUUCUCGUGAUAGGAGUAUAGGACGAGUCCAUAAAUAUCGAUGGGUCCUUGUCAAGCACACGACACAACAAGAACCCCACCAGCGUGCAAAAUGGCUUAAACCCACACGGGGAGCGACCACGACCAGGUCCACGCCACACCACGCAUUCAUUGACACAUAACCAAAUAUAGGGUGAUGGAAAAAAAAACAACAAAAAAGAAAAAAAAAAGAAAAAAAAGGAGUAAUAUAUUUGUACGUGGGAACAGGGGAGAGCAAUUCUCUCUCUUCUAUUCUCUGCCUCCUCUGCUCUCCCGACCCAUACCCCUUAAGUACCACAUACCCCUUUUCUCUGCCACCUUUUUUCUCUUCUCUUUUCCCUUCUCCUUCUCCUUCUCCUUCUCCUUCUUCUUUAUGUAUGUUCUUCUCCCGAGUAUAAAUUUGUUUGAGUGCUAAGUACUAGUAUUAGUUGUUGUUUUGGGGGGUGGGGGUUGUAAAAUGGAAGGUGGAGGAGGGAGGAGGAGGGUAAGUAGUAGAGAGACGAGCCCGGACAGAGCAAGAGUGAGCUACACCCACCACCACCACCAACAACAGCAGCAGCAGCAGCAGCACCAUCAUCAAAGGUCGACAACAACAACAACAACAACAGCAACAACAAGGCCUCUGAAGAAGGUUCAGAUUGUGUACUAUCUUAGUAGAAAUGGGCAACUGGAGCACCCUCAUUUCAUGGAGAUUUCUCACCCCCACAGCCAACAACUUCGCCUCAAAGGUUUUGUUAAUCAUUAAUUUGCUUGGUUUUUCUUUUCUUUUUUUUUUGGGUUAAGUUGAAUUAAUGCUGCUCUUAAUGGUUUGGUUAAGUAGAUGUGUUAGAUAAGCUCACAGCUCUCAGAGGAAAGGGCAUGCCCUCUCUCUUUUCCUGGUCUUGCAAGAGGUAUAUUUCCAAUCUACUAGCUUUUUUAAAAUAUACAUACAUAUAUAUAUAUAUAUAUAUAUAUGUACAACAUUUUUUUUUAUACGAAAAACUUAUAUAUGUACAUAUGGGAUGUAUCAUGUAUAUAUAUAUGUGAACGGAACGAAGGAGCUAUAAGAACGGGUACGUGUGGAACGACUUGUGCGAGAGCGACGUGAUCUACCCAUCGGACGGCGCAGAAUACGUCCUCAAGGGCUCCGAGAUCAUCACCGGCUGUUCCGGUCACCCCCUUAGCCUCCCGGUUCAAAUAUUACAUGUUGUUAUUAUAUUUUUCUUUUGGGGGGUUAAUUAUUAUGGUAUGGUAUUUAUUAAAUCUUUGUGAUUGAAAAAACAGAGCGGUUCCAGCACCCGCCCGUGCAUAACCGGGGGAUGAUAAAACCACUCUCCGGCGCGCACAAGCAUUACCAGGCCGAGGACGACGAUCUCGAGGACGAGGUCGGCGAGAUCGACGACGGAGAGGGAUUAGAAGACGAGUACGAAGACUCCCGCGGCGCCCGCGCCGCGAGUCACGGCGCCUCGGCCCGGGCCAAGCCCUACGCGCGCGGGGUAUCCACGGAGGGGAUCGGCCGAGUCGACGACCCGCCCAGGACUCGGCGACCCCACCACCACCGUCCGAUGGAGGUCUCCUUCGAGGACGCGUCGCCGCCCUCGUCGUCCUCGUCGGAGAAGCUCCCCGGCGCCGCCGCGGCGGACUCGGCGGGCGAGACCGGAGCGGGUCGCAACUCGGUGCUGCUCCAGCUCAUCGCGUGCGGCGCGGCGGCGGCGGCGGCGAAGGGGAGGAGCGGCGCCCCUGCGGGGGGAAAUGGGGCGAGGAAGAGCGGGGGGUUGCAGAGGUGGAUGGUGAGUCGACUCGCGGGUCGGGGGGCGGGGGACGAGGACGAGUUGCGGGUGGGAGCGGCGCGGUCGGGUCACCGUCCCGCGGUGGAGGAGAAGGAGUAUUUCAGCGGGAGCAUCGUCGAGGGCGCCGCGAAGGGCCCACCGGAGCCCGCGCUAAAGAAGUCCAAUUCGUACAAUGAAGAGAGGUAUCACAAUUCCCAUAUUCCACUUUUAACAAUUUUUUUUUUGUUGACUUUGGGUCAAACAAGGUUUUUUUUUUUUUUUUUUCAUUAGACUACAGGGACCUGGAAAUUCGGUACUUGCUUUUUAUUUACUAGACCCGAAUACUGAAUGCUAACCAGGAAGAUUAACGGGAACGACAACGUCGAUUUAACCAUACAAGAUACUACGCAACUUAGACAUAUUAGUUAUAGUAGUUAGUUAGAGGAUGUCAAAGUCAAUUUUUACUAAUGUUGAUGUAUUAUCACAUGUUGUUUGAUUCAGCAAAAUAGCCUAAAAUGUACGUCAUCUGUAGCGAAAACACACUUGUUUUCUAGAAGGAAUCCUGCAAAACAAAAAAGAAAAAAAAAAAAAAAAAAGAGGAGCAGCAAAAAAUGGUGCUACCCAGCAUGUUAUGUUAAAAAAAGUACCAGAUGAUCUAAAUUAGUAACUAUUUUCAAUUUAUGAAGACCCAAGUAAAUGAGAUUUAUUUUGCUCUACAAGAAGAGGUUUUGACUUAUCCCGUGUGUUUGAAAUUGACAUGGUUGGUGGUGGUGAUGUGACGGGGACAGGAGCUCGAGGCUAGGGAUUGGCGAAGAGGGGGUGCAGAACGGAGAGGAGAGAGAAGAAGGAGAAGGCGCAGAAGGGGCAGUGAAAAGGAAGUGCAUCCCUGGCAUAAAGAUGCCCUCUUCCUCUGCCAAGCAGCAGCAGCAGCAGCAGCAGCAGAAGCAACAGCAGCAGCAGCAGCAGCAGCUGCAGUUUCAGCCUAAGAAAGGAUCCCAAUGAAUAAAUGCUAUCCUAUUUAAUCCUCUCUCUCUUUCUUCUCUCUCUCUGUUCUCUUUUCAAUGUGUUGGAAUGGUGGUUGUGGUAGCUUCUCUCUCUGCUGGUGUACUAGCUUUAUUUGACUCUGGGGACUACUGACGCAAGUGUGUGUAGAGGGGGGGUGAGGGGCGGGGCAGUUGGGAUUGGGGGCCUGCAUGGAAUUAAAAGCUAGCCCUGUUUGUGGAAUCCAAACGAGAUUCUGUUUUUCCGAACUAUAUCUCCUGCUUAUGCUGUGAUUGGUCAGGGCCAAUGUUCAGGGUCUUAUCUUAUGCUUUCACUUCUCACUUCAUUCACUCUUAGAACUGCUUUUAGCUUUUCCACAAUUUAUGGUUUCUGAUGACAAAGGUUUCAGGUGAAUCCACUCUCUUCUAUCUGCUCCCCUUGUUGGACCUUCUUUGGAGUUGGGCCCUCAAGAAAAACUCCUUAUCUUGUAUGAUCUGCAUCUCUACAUGCCUACAUGCUGAGGGGGCAGAGAUUCUGAUCAGGCAGGAACUGCAUUGACAAUUAGAUUUAUUAAUUUUGGAAAAGCCUACAAAUUGAACACUAAGUUUAAUGCAUAUGCUCAAUCAAUAACAACUCCACCAAAAUGACACGCAUAAUAUAGCAGGCUUGGAAUACAAUUAUAUGGAAAUAUACUUACUUUUAUUUUAAAAUUGUUAAUAAAAAUAUAUUAUAAGCAUCUUAUUACGAUAUAAACAACAACGCGAUCACUUGGAAAUUAAAUUCCAAAGAAGCCUGAGAUAUUGAUUUCGAUGCACUGAUAUUUUAUGGUGUGGUUCGAGUUUCCGAAGUUAUUAAAUCUACUUGUAUGUCACUCAAGACUUUCAUGCUCGGCACCCAUUGGGCAUAGACACCCACUGGGCGUAACGAUGCAGUAAAAAGAGGAUCGGAUCAUUAAACAAAUGAUAUAAGGUUAAUUUUAUGCUGGUUCACUCAGUAUACAACUUAAAUAGGCACGAAAUCAUAAAUAAGUACAUACCCAAGUUAUCUUAGCAGAAUGAUUCUGAGUCUUUACUUACCACAGAGAUUACGGUACUUUCAUAUAUAUNACCAUUAUAAGAUGUUACCCAAAAACUAAAAUUUUCGAUUAAAACUUUACAUUUUUGUUGUCGUUACUGAAAAACAAAAAAAUAAUAAUAGCAUUUUUGUAGAAAUUCUAGAUAGCUAGCUAGCUCGGACGGAACAAAUGAUAUAACUAAUACUUUAAAAUCGUAAACAGUUUUCCUGCUGAACUUCAAUGGCAGUUCUGAGCUGGUAGGUUAGCUUGGUACAACUAUUUGCCUUUAAUGAUCUUUCAGGCUGGCCCUGUUCUCUGCAGCAACUUUAUGUCUCCAUACUUUAUUUUCUCUUUCCUCAGUAGGGCUGGCAAAUGAGCAAGUCGGCUCCUGUUCGACUCGCGUUCGACUUGAUAUUUGGCUCGCUCGAGCUCGACUCAAAAUUAAAUAAGCCGAACUUAAACAAAAAAAGAGACUCAAAAUUCAUUUUAAGCCGAGCUUAAGUAUUACUGGGCUCGUUCGAAUUAGGCUCGAAAAGUUCGAAAAGCUCGAAUAUAUAUAUAUAUAUAUAUAUAUAUAUAUAUUACGGCUACUAUACUAUCUAUAGUACGGGAGCUCCCGUACUAUAGAUAGUAUAGUAGCCUAGCUCUCUCUCUCUCUCUCUAUAUAUAUAUAUAUAUAUAGAGUCCGGCUACUAUACUAUCUAUAGUACGGGAGCUCCCGUACUAUAGAUAGUAUAGUAGCCUAGCUCUCUCUCUCUCUCUCUAUAUAUAUAUAUAUAUAUAGAGUCCGGCUACUAUACUAUCUAUAGUACGGGAGCUCCCGUACUAUAGAUAGUAUAGUAGCCUAGCUCUCUCUCUCUCUCUCUAUAUAUAUAUAUAUAUAUAGAGUCCGGCUACUAUACUAUCUAUAGUACGGGAGCUCCCGUACUAUAGAUAGUAUAGUAGCCUAGCUCUCUCUCUCUCUCUCUAUAUAUAUAUAUAUAUAUAGAGUCCGGCUACUAUACUAUCUAUAGUACGGGAGCUCCCGUACUAUAGAUAGUAUAGUAGCCUAGCUCUCUCUCUCUCUCUCUAUAUAUAUAUAUAUAUAUAGAGUCCGGCUACUAUACUAUCUAUAGUACGGGAGCUCCCGUACUAUAGAUAGUAUAGUAGCCUAGCUCUCUCUCUCUCUCUCUAUAUAUAUAUAUAUAUAUAGAGUCCGGCUACUAUACUAUCUAUAGUACGGGAGCUCCCGUACUAUAGAUAGUAUAGUAGCCUAGCUCUCUCUCUCUCUCUCUAUAUAUAUAUAUAUAUAUAGAGUCCGGCUACUAUACUAUCUAUAGUACGGGAGCUCCCGUACUAUAGAUAGUAUAGUAGCCUAGCUCUCUCUCUCUCUCUCUAUAUAUAUAUAUAUAUAUAGAGUCCGGCUACUAUACUAUCUAUAGUACGGGAGCUCCCGUACUAUAGAUAGUAUAGUAGCCUAGCUCUCUCUCUCUCUCUCUAUAUAUAUAUAUAUAUAUAGAGUCCGGCUACUAUACUAUCUAUAGUACGGGAGCUCCCGUACUAUAGAUAGUAUAGUAGCCUAGCUCUCUCUCUCUCUCUCUAUAUAUAUAUAUAUAUAUAGAGUCCGGCUACUAUACUAUCUAUAGUACGGGAGCUCCCGUACUAUAGAUAGUAUAGUAGCCUAGCUCUCUCUCUCUCUCUCUAUAUAUAUAUAUAUAUAUAGAGUCCGGCUACUAUACUAUCUAUAGUACGGGAGCUCCCGUACUAUAGAUAGUAUAGUAGCCUAGCUCUCUCUCUCUCUCUCUAUAUAUAUAUAUAUAUAUAGAGUCCGGCUACUAUACUAUCUAUAGUACGGGAGCUCCCGUACUAUAGAUAGUAUAGUAGCCUAGCUCUCUCUCUCUCUCUCUCCUCAAGCGGCCAAACCUGAAGCCCCCAAGUUAUCAAGUAACAGCACGCGCCCGCUGUUGCCUACCUUGCCAUUAAUUGUGUGCUUGAGAAAAUAUACAGAAUAUUUUUAAAGUAAAAAUUUUUUAUUCAUAUAAAAUUUUAAUUUUUAUUAUAUAUGAUUGGAGAGUUUAAUCUAAUAUUUAUCUAUAUAAUUUAUUUAUUUUUGACUGCAUAUAUGAAAAUGAAUAAUAUGGAGAUGGAAGGCGGAAGAAAAGACAUGUAAGGCUAAAGAGAUUAGAUAUUUAACUCAUAAAUUAUUAUUUUCAUAUUAUAAUACUAUAUUUUAUAUAAUUAUUUUGUACUUUGAGUUAUUAGAUAUAUUUUUGUAUCAAAUUAUAGAUAAUGUUCUGUACAAAUUAAAUUAUUGAUCGUAUGAUGUUGAGAAUUUCAAGCUGCUCGUUUAGGGCUCGAGCUCGCUCGACUCGAAAUUAGGCUCGCUCGAGCUCGGCUCGAAUUAAUUUCAUCCAAGCUUGAGCUUAAAUUUAAGCUCGAAAUUAAUUUCAAACCGAAUUUGAGCCGACAUAAGCUCGGCUUGUUUCCACCCCUAUUCCUCAGUGAACAAAAGUGGAAUAAGAUAAUGUAUAUAGACAAGUAUGUUUGUAUAUUCUUCAAUUACUUACCUCUCUAACUUCUUAAACAAGAAUCUCUUUUCUCCCCUUCCCAUAAGAAAUUUUACUACAAAAACAGUAGCAACUGUGGAUGCUACAAACUACGAAGUACUAUCACCGUUAUGGUCUCUGCGGCCGCAAUUAAUAGUAUUGAGCUCGGUCCAAAACGAAGAUACUAAAUAUUCACG